rnacentral:rRNA from 1 species
AUUGAACGCUGGCGGCAGGCCUAACACAUGCAAGUCGAGCGAGCGGCGGACGGGUGAGUAAUGUCUGGGAAACUGCCUGAUGGAGGGGGAUAACUACUGGAAACGGUAGCUAAUACCGCAUACCAUCAGAUGUGCCCAGAUGGGAUGAGCUAGUAGGUGGGGUAACGGCUAACCUGGGCGGCGUUCCCUAGCUGGUCUGAGAGGAUCACCAGCCACACUGGAACGAGGACACGGUCCGGACUCCUACGGGAGGCGGCAGUGGGGAGUAUUGCACAAUGGGCGCAAUCCUGAUGCAGCCAUGCCGGGUGUGUGAAGAGGGCCUUCGGGUUGUAAAGCACGUUCAGCGGGGAGGCGUUACCCGCAGAAGAAGCACCGGCUAACUCCGUGCCAGCAGCCGCGGUAAUAC